rnacentral:rRNA from 1 species
UACGAAGGGGGCUAGCGUUGCUCGGAAUUACUGGGCGUAAAGCGUGCGUAGGGGGUUUCUUAAGUCCGUUGUGAAAGCCCUGGGCUCAACCUGGGAACUGCAGUGGAUACUGAGAGGCUAGAGUGUGUCAGAGGAUGGUGGAAUUCCCGGUGUAGCGGUGAAAUGCGUAGAGAUCGGGAGGAACAUCAGUGGCGAAGGCGGCACUCUGGGCCGGUACUGACACUGAGGAGCGAAAGCGUGGGGAGCGAACAGG